rnacentral:lncRNA from 1 species
GGAUAGAGGAUGGCAAUCUCGCUGAAGCUGUUUCUUUUUCUUCACAACAUAUAGGAAAGUGUUGCCCCUUUUUGGAGAAAGUAACAACCUCCACCAACACUACUUGAAUCAGUACUGAACGAAUGUCAGGUCCUUGGGAAAUUCUCCAAUCCUGUCUCCUGUCCUGGCCGGGUGUGCUCCUGGUGCACCAUUCGGCUAAGUCAAUUUGAACUAUUUGGGAGACCUUUGUACCUACGUUUCCUUCUGCUUGGAAGAUCCUUUCUGUUUUGUCAGCUCUUACUUCCGUGUUGUGGAAAACUGAUCUGACCUCCUAGUCCUGAAUCAGGGGCCAUAAAGAAAAUUGAUGAGGACAACUGGCCUCCCAAUAUGUGGAUUCAGUUUCCGUAUGUCAAUUUACCCACUCCCACUGGUAGUCUGAAGAGAUAUGGCUACUGGAGAACAGAAAAUCACCAGUAUUAAUAAAAGCAAUUUUAAGUGUUUACCUUUUAGUAUUUGAAUAGCUUUGUUAAAGAGACGUACUCAAGAAUACUAUGAAGAGACUCUUAUUGUACUCCUUACCUGGAGAUAAUUGUGAUGCCAGAAAUUCAAAUUUAUAUUCAACAAUAUGGUUUUUCAACCAUCAAUAUUAUAAACAUCUAGGCAGUGUCUAUUGUUUGCGCAUUUGCCAUCCUCUAAAAUGAGAUUAUUCUAAGCAUAAAUUAUACUUCAUCAUUCAAGAUUAUAAACAUUUAUAAUAAUCAUAAUAUUCACGGACGUUUCCCUGCUCUCAAAUCACUAGAGCUAAUAGGCAAAGUAGAUACAGCUACAAACAGUGGGAGAAAAUAUUUCUGGCUGACCUACAAAUAGCUGUGCAAUAAUGUAGAGAGGAAAAUAUAGUCUCACUUAUAGUGUCUGAAAUUGAGUUUCC